UACGGGGGGGGCAAGCGUUGUUCGGAAUUACUGGGCGUAAAGGGUUCGUAGGUGGCCAACUAAGUCAGACGUGAAAUCCCUCAGCUUAACUGGGGAACUGCGUCUGAGACUGGAUGGCUUGAGUGCAGGAGAGGAACGCGGAAUUCCAGGUGUAGCGGUGAAAUGCGUAGAUAUCUGGAGGAACACCGGUGGCGAAGGCGACAUCCUGGACCGGUAUUGACGCUGAGGCGCGAAAGCCAGGGGAGCAAACGGG
rnacentral:rRNA from 1 species